GAAAUGCGAUAAGUAAUGUGAAUUGCAUAAUUCCGUGAAUCAUCGAAUCUUUGAACGCACAUUGCGCCCUCUGGCAUUCCGGGGGGCAUGCCUGUCCGAGCGUCAUUACGCACCCUCAAGCCCGGCUUGUGUGAUGGGCCCUGGCGUCUCGUUCGCGAGACGGGCCCGAAAGGCAGCGGCGGCGUCGACCCGAUGAGCCCGAGCGUAUGGGGACUUUUGUCACACGUUUGCGGUGCGGACCGGCGCCUGCUUGACUUUUCUGAUUAUCCAGGUUGACCUCGGAUCAGGUAGGGAUACCCGCUGAACUUAAGC
rnacentral:misc_RNA from 1 species